rnacentral:rRNA from 1 species
CUGAUCCAGCAAUGCCGCGUGAGUGAAGAAGGCCUUCGGGUUGUAAAGCUCUUUUGUCAGGGAAGAAACAGCAGCUCUAACACAGUCUGCGAAUGACGGUACCUGAAGAAUAAGCACCGGCUAACUACGUGCCAGCAGCCGCGGUAAUACGUAGGGUGCAAGCGUUAAUCGGAAUUACUGGGCGUAAAGCGUGCGCAGGCGGUUAUGUAAGACAGGCGUGAAAUCCCCGGGCUUAACCUGGGAAUUGCGCUUGUGACUGCAUAGCUAGAGUAUGUCAGAGGGGGGUAGAAUUCCACGUGUAGCAGUGAAAUGCGUAGAGAUGUGGAGGAAUACCAAUGGCGAAGGCAGCCCCCUGGGAUAAUACUGACGCUCAUGCACGAAAGCGUGGGGAGCAAACAGGAUUAGAUACCCUGGUAGUCCACGCCCUAAACGAUGCUGACUAGUUGUUCGGGAAUUUAUUCCUGAGUAACGUAGCUAACGCGUGAAGUCAGCCGCCUGGGGAGUACGGUCGCAAGAUUAAAACUCAAAGGAAUUGACGGGGACCCGCACAAGCGGUGGAUGAUGUGGAUUAAUUCGAUGCAACGCGAAAAACCUUACCUACCCUUGACAUGCCACUAACGAAGUAGAGAUACAUUAGGUGCCCGUAAGGGAAAGUGGACACAGGUGCUGCAUGGCUGUCGUCAGCUCGUGUCGUGAGAUGUUGGGUUAAGUCCCGCAACGAGCGCAACCCUUGUCUUUAGUUGCUACGCAAGAGCACUCUAAAGAGACUGCCGGUGACAAACCGGAGGAAGGUGGGGAUGACGUCAAGUCCUCAUGGCCCUUAUGGGUAGGGCUUCACACGUCAUACAAUGGUGCAUACAGAGGGUUGCCAACCCGCGAGGGGGAGCUAAUCUCAGAAAAUGCAUCGUAGUCCGGAUCGUAGUCUGCAACUCGACUACGUGAAGCUGGAAUCGCUAGUAAUCGCGGAUCAGAAUGUCGCGGUGAAUACGUUCCCGGGUCUUGUACACACCGCCCGUCACACCAUGGGAGUGGGUUUUGCCAGAAGCCGUUAGCCUAACCGCAAGGAGGGCGACGACCACGGCAGGGUUCAUGACUGGGGUGAAGUCGUAACAAGGU